UCGCGAUAUGGUGUGUCUCGUGACCUU
rnacentral:piRNA from 1 species